AAAACAUGUCCUUUAGAAUUUAAUUUAAGGUCUGACCUGCCCACUGAAUUAAAUGGCCGCAGUAUUUUAACUGUGCAAAGGUAGCAUAAUCAUUAGUCUUUUAAUUGAAGGCUUGUAUGAAUGGUUGGACGAAAUAUUGACUGUCUCAUGAGAAUUGAUUUAGAAUUUUAUUUUUUAGUUAAAAAGCUAAAAUAUAUUUAAAAGACGAGAAGACCCUAUAGAUCUUUAUAAUUUAUUUAUUACGGUUAUUUAGAUAAUUUAAAUUGUAAUUGUAUAAAUUAUUUUGUUGGGGUGACAUUAAAAUUUAAUUAACUUUUAAUAUAUGUAUACAUUGAUUUAUGAUUAAUUGAUCCAUUAGUAAUGAUUAUAAAAUUAAGUUACCUUAGGGAUAACAGCGUAAUUUUUUUGAAGAGUUCAUAUCGAUAAAAAAGAUUGCGACCUCGAUGUUGGAUUAAGAUAUAAUUUUGGGUGCAGCAAUUCAAUUAUUAAGUCUGUUCGACUUUUAAUUUCUUACAUGA
rnacentral:rRNA from 1 species